UAUUUGCUAUUUUUAGAGUAUAAGUUUUGCGUUUUAAAGAAAGAAAAAUUACAAAAAUAUGCUUUAUAGGUUUUAAUUUUGCUUAGCCAGUCAUUUAUUUUAACCUUAUUUUUUUUUAGUUAUCUAGAAAUAGUUAUUAAAUAUUUUUUUUACAUUUAAAAAAAAAAGCAAAUAGGAUUAUACCACCUCACCAUAAAAUGACAAAACUUGAUAACAAACCUUAUCACAAAAAGAGGGGGGUUCACGUUUUUUUUCACUUUGGGUGGGGCCCGCACAAUUAAAAAAAAAAAGAAAAAAAAAAAGAGAAAAUGGAAAACACACAUACUCAACCGCAAUUCUACGCCAUAAAAAAUCAGCCGCAGCUUGCAAAAGAAAAAUAAAACUUAGCAACUAAGAUCAAAUAGACUUAAAAGGAACCAAAAGAAAAGUAGAUAUAGCUUUUUUUUUUUAUUGACAUUUUUCUUACCUCCUCCGUCCUUAUUUUUUUUUUAUUUUGAAGCUAUCAUGAUCCUUUCACAGUCUUUCACCAUGUAAAAAGUGAAUCACCCCACCAUUUUGUUUCUAGUUUAGCUACUAAUCUCACUGUGAAACAGCCAAAAAAAAAAACAGCCAUGAAAACACCACCCGUUUCAGCUCCAUCAAUGAAAUAACAACUUAAAAAAAUUCAGCUUUUAAACACCAUUAUGGUUCAGCCUUUAAACACCAUUUUCAGCCAUAUUUUCAUCUCUGUUUGGGUUUAUUUUUGGUCGAGGUUGAGGUCCAUCGAUUAAAGCUCUCGUCGGCGUCGAGUUUUCCAGCCGCAGUCCAUUUUUGUACGUGAGCUUGGGGUUUCCUUUGUCUUGGUGUAUUGAUGGAAAUUUUCAGCAAUUAAAGUAUUCGAUUUCUCUAGUGAUCACAACAACAGAUUUUGCCUCUGUGAUUUAUAGGGGCAUCGCCGAAAAAAGAGAUUCGUGUCAAAAUCUUGUGCUAAGAUGUUGAUUAGAAGUUGAAUAGCAGCGGCAUUACAUUUAGAUUAAGCAAGUUGUUAAACUUUAUUGGGAUUCUGAUAUGAUUCUUUAAGUCUAAGUGCCUCAUUUUCCAUUGUUUUUUAAUUUUUAAUUCUUUUAUAUUCUUGUGAACUAUAGCAUUAUGUAAAUUAAUUUCUCCUUUGUAAAAUGAAAUGCAAGAUUUGAACGCUUUUUUUGCAGAGCAUAAUAGCAUAUGAUUUGUUUUA